rnacentral:rRNA from 1 species
GAGCGGUAGAGAGAAGCUUGCUUCUCUUGAGAGCGGCGGACGGGUGAGUAAUGCCUAGGAAUCUGCCUGGUAGUGGGGGAUAACGUUCGGAAACGGACGCUAAUACCGCAUACGUCCUACGGGAGAAAGCAGGGGACCUUCGGGCCUUGCGCUAUCAGAUGAGCCUAGGUCGGAUUAGCUAGUUGGUGGGGUAAUGGCUCACCAAGGCGACGAUCCGUAACUGGUCUGAGAGGAUGAUCAGUCACACUGGAACUGAGACACGGUCCAGACUCCUACGGGAGGCAGCAGUGGGGAAUAUUGGACAAUGGGCGAAAGCCUGAUCCAGCCAUGCCGCGUGUGUGAAGAAGGUCUUCGGAUUGUAAAGCACUUUAAGUUGGGAGGAAGGGCAGUAAAUUAAUACUUUGCUGUUUUGACGUUACCGACAGAAUAAGCACCGGCUAACUCUGUGCCAGCAGCCGCGGUAAUACAGAGGGUGCAAGCGUUAAUCGGAAUUACUGGGCGUAAAGCGCGCGUAGGUGGUUCGUUAAGUUGGAUGUGAAAUCCCCGGGCUCAACCUGGGAACUGCAUUCAAAACUGACGAGCUAGAGUAUGGUAGAGGGUGGUGGAAUUUCCUGUGUAGCGGUGAAAUGCGUAGAUAUAGGAAGGAACACCAGUGGCGAAGGCGACCACCUGGACUGAUACUGACACUGAGGUGCGAAAGCGUGGGGAGCAAACAGGAUU